GAUGAACGCUGGCGGCGUGCCUAAUACAUGCAAGUCGAGCGAACGGACGAGAAGCUUGCUUCUCUGAUGUUAGCGGCGGACGGGUGAGUAACACGUGGAUAACCUACCUAUAAGACUGGGAUAACUUCGGGAAACCGUAGCUAAUACCGGAUAAUAUUCUGAACCGCAUGGUUCAAAAGUGAAAGACGGUCUUGCUGUCACUUAUAGAUGGAUCCGCGCUGCUUUAGCUAGUUGGUAAGGUAACGGCUUACCAAGGCAACGAUGCAUAGCCGACCUGAGAGGGUGAUCGGCCACACUGGAACUGAGACACGGUCCAGACUCCUACGGGAGGCAGCAGUAGGGAAUCUUCCGCAAUGGGCGAAAGCCUGACGGAGCAACGCCGCGUGAGUGAUGAAGGUCUUCGGAUCGUAAAACUCUGUUAUUAGGGAAGAACAUAUGUGUAAGUAACUGUGCACAUCUUGACGGUACCUAAUCAGAAAGCCACGGCUAACUACGUG
rnacentral:rRNA from 1 species